AGUGCCGUUUUCUUUGAUAAAAUCAAUUUUUAUAGCCUAAAUCUAAACAUUUUGUAAACUAUUUGUGCCGUGAAUUCCAUCUCUAUCAAUUUUUUACGGAGCUUUCGGCGUGUUUCGCCCCUGUAAACAAUCGUUUAUAUAGUCAUGGUGGGUUUCAGUGCAUUCCUCUGGAUGUUUGCAACACAGUCAAAGGUCAUUGUUUUUUUUGCGGGGAGAAUUGACCGAAGUGAACUGAUUUUGAAGACAGCGAUUAAAUGACUACCUGACGCACCAAUAAUUUUAGCGAAGCUUCAUUGAUUGACUAUUUCUGCCCAAUGACCACUGAUCUUCUUGAAAUCUAGCUGGGUAGAUAGCCAAUGAGCUGAGGUAAACGCCAGUAUGUAAUGGUUUGGGGUUGGACCACAAUUCCUUGGUUGUAAUCGCACGCGCAGGGAACUCCAUUUUUGCCUUGACGAUCAGAGCAGUUGCUGUAAGGCUUUUUACGUGCAGCUGUAUUUUGGAAAGUUGUAGUUUCAACGAUUUCAUUGAAGAUAUCCUGGCGAAUACAUCAUGAAUACAAAGUGAAGUCAAACUCUAAAGUAAAAGUGAAAGUGAGACAGAUUUUGUUUUUUGAGGAAUCUUGGAGUGUUAUGAUUCAAACGAACUGAGGAGCUGUUUCUGCAAGGACCGGACGUACUUCUGGAUGGUGAUAGCGACUCCGACUGGGAGGCCCCGGUGCCAAGCUGCCCACUCUACCUGUGCCCCCCAAUGGUGUUCAUAUGCCACAGUUCAUUACUGCAGGCAUGACUGCCUCAGGGCCAAAAGGGCACAGCAUGGAGGCGUCGUUGUGUUCUGUGUCGCAUGAAAUGCACCACUUGUUCAGUUUGCCUCUGCUUUACAUCAGAAAGAGACUGCUAUGGGACAGGGCACAGGCAGCAAAAUACUGUGACGAGGAUUUCCAAGGGGUGUACUGUUUAUUUUUUUGUUUAUUCAUUUAUUUUUUUUCUAUAUUUAUUUUUGUAAACAUUUUUGUUGUUGUGUGUGUGUGCGUGUGUGUGUUAGAAUUGCUUUUUGAUGUGUUGUAUAUAGUUAUUUGCACUGCUGUAUAUAGUUAUAGGUCAUUUCACCAAUUCGGCCACUUGGGUACAUUUGGGCAACUUGUGUGGGACACCUGAGUGACUUCAUGCUAAAUGUCAUGUAGCUCACCCAUUCCUGAAGUUAUCAAUCUGAAACUUUGCACACCUACAGUUGCCCUCCUGUGUUAUCCAUCAAAAUUAUAUCCAGCAUCCUAUCUGACUGUGUGGCGAUUCUAGUACAUUUGAAAGAUGAUACUACAACAA